rnacentral:rRNA from 1 species
UACGGGGGGAGCAAGCGUUGUUCGGAUUUACUGGGCGUAAAGGGCGCGUAGGCGGCCACCGCAAGUCGACUGUGAAAUCUCCGGGCUUAACCCGGAAAGGUCAGCCGAUACUGCGGGGCUAGAGUGCAGAAGGGGCAACUGGAAUUCUCGGUGUAGCGGUGAAAUGCGUAGAUAUCGAGAGGAACACCUGCGGCGAGGGCGGAUUGCUGGGCUGACACUGACGCUGAGGCGCGAAAGCUAGGGGAGCGAACGGG